rnacentral:rRNA from 1 species
GACGAACGCUGGCGGCGUGCUUAACACAUGCAAGUCGAACGGAAAGGCCCUGCUUUUGUGGGGUGCUCGAGUGGCGAACGGGUGAGUAACACGUGAGUAACCUGCCCUUGACUUUGGGAUAACUUCAGGAAACUGGGGGUAAUACCGGAUAGGAGCUCCUGCUGCAUGGUGGGGGUUGGAAAGUUUCGGCGGUUGGGGAUGGACUCGCGGCUUAUCAGCUUGUUGGUGGGGUAGUGGCUUACCAAGGCUUUGACGGGUAGCCGGCCUGAGAGGGUGACCGGCCACAUUGGGACUGAGGUACGGCCCAGACUCCUACGGGAGGCAGCAGUGGGGAAUAUUGCACAAUGGGCGGAAGCCUGAUGCAGCAACGCCGCGUGCGGGAUGACGGCCUUCGGGUGGUAAACCGCUUUCGCCUGUGACGAAGCGUGAGUGACGGUAAUGGGUAAAGAAGCACCGGCUAACUACGU